rnacentral:misc_RNA from 1 species
UCCGGUUUGACACCGGCAGUCUCGCUAGAGUACUGGCUUUCGCCGAGCAACUAACGAUAGGGGUUGCGCUCGUUAGAGGACUUAACCCGACACUUCACAGCACGAGCUGGCGACAGCCAUGCAGCACCUGUGAUCGUUCCACCCUUGCGGGUGUGGCCCCACUUUCAUGGGGUUAAUCCGACCAUGUCAAACCCAGGUAAGGUUCUUCGCGUUGCCUCGAAUUAAGCAACAUGCUCCACCGCUUGUGUGAGCCCCCGUCAAUUUCUUUGAGUUUUAGCCUUGCGACCGUACUCCCCAGGCGGCGCGCUUAUCGCUUUUGCUUCGACCGAUCCGGGGUCAAACCCGCACCGAUCUAGCGCGCAUCGUUUACGGCGUGGACUAC